AAGUCGUAACAAGGUUUCCGUAGGUGAACCUGCGGAAGGAUCAUUAACACGUAUCCAAACGUAAAAAACCCCCCCCGUGAACAUUCAAUCCUGCUCUUGUAACCCGCGUAGUUCGCAAUCUCUGGUAAAUCAUAGCCCGGAAAGUAGUUUUGAUUCAGAGACCUCUGGCUCCGUGAGAACAUUGGCAUUGUUUCCCCAAGCAGUCAGUUUCUGAAAGUGUCACUGAUUGUGCAAGGAUAGCGCUUCAACGAUUCCUGUAGACCGUACACUCGCCUUAUAACCCCACAGUUUAAUGUGAAGCUCAAUGUAAUACAUUGGGUAAAAAAACCGAACAACUGUUAACAAUGGAUAUCUUGGUUCUC
rnacentral:misc_RNA from 1 species